GUGCAUUGUUGGGGGAUGGGGAGGAUUUGCACCUCUAACGCCUUCUGUAUAACGAUUUACCGUGGGCAGAACGCUUUCUGGUUAGCCUUCUCCUUCACUUUUCCCAACCACGUGUGAGAAAAGUAUUAGUGUUAUCCACACUUUACGGAGGAAGAAACAAGCCCAGAACGAUUAAGGAGCUGCUUAAAACUGUCAAAGUUAUAAAAUGGUAGAAGUGCUCUAGAGCUGUUUUUGUCGCUACCCCACAGCCAACCACAACUUGAGGACAGGACAACGGUUUCUUCCUUGCUUCAGUCUCGGAGAUAGGCCUUGUAAAAACUAUGUGUUCUGGGAGGCUGACCAUUUUUUUAACUUGAGGAAUUCAGUGGCAAGGGACCUGACAACAUGACAGCACUCAUACCUGGCCUGAACUUCCCUAGAGUGGCUUUGGGAGUCUAGGAAGAGGAUGCUUUGCCGGAGGUGUUGGUGGGAGCGGUGGAAUGAAAAGAAUGAAGUUGAAAAGACAGCCUAGCAUAAUUCAGGACUUGUCACAAUUCACAAACAAGCCACUUACGGGAGCCUGUUUGCCCAAGCCUUUUAACUGGCUUAAUUAGAAUAACAAUACAUGUUGUUGUUCCGGUUUUUAUUUAGGUCUGGCCUAUGAAACCUCCCAAAGAUCCUUCAUAUUCUUUCUUUUCUGGCUUGAGGAAGAUAACCUUGAGCACAGUGAUCCUGAAGGCCACAUGUGAAAGACAGUGGAGCCACAGGAUGAAAGGAACUUGGUUCCCUGAGUCAUUACUUGGCAGAGAGCUGCCUGCUAAUCAGGAUCCUGUGUUUUGGACUUCACUUGACCAAUAAAUCAAUUUCUAUUUUGUUAUACCA